rnacentral:rRNA from 1 species
UACGUAGGGGCCGAGCGUUGUCCGGAGUUACUGGGCGUAAAGCGCGCGCAGGCGGCGCGGUAAGCAUGGCGUGAAAGCCCCCGGCUCAACCGGGGAGGGUCGCCGUGGACUGCCGUGCUUGAGGGCGGCAGGGGUCGGUGGAAUGCCCGGUGUAGUGGUGAAAUGCGUAGAGAUCGGGCGGAACACCCGUGGCGAAGGCGGCUCUCUGGGGACGGUACUGACGCUGAGACGCGAAAAGCGUGGGGGAG